rnacentral:rRNA from 1 species
AACGAACGCUGGCGGCAUGCCUAACACAUGCAAGUCGAACGAGACCUUCGGGUCUACUGGCGCACGGGUGCGUAACGCGUGGGAACCUGCCCUUAGGUUCGGAAUAACUCCCCGAAAGGGGUGCUAAUACCGGAUAAUGUCCUCGGACCAAAGAUUUAUCGACUUUGGAUGGGCCGGCGUUGGAUUAGCUGGUUGGUAGGGUAAAAGCCUAUCACGGCGACGAUCCAUAGCUGGUCUGAGAGGAUGGUCAGCGACACUGGGACUGGGACACGGCCGAGACUCCUGCGGGAGGCAGCAGUGGGGAAUAUUGGAAAAUGGGCGAAAGGCUGAUCCAGCAAUGCCGCGUGAGUGAUGAAGGCCUUAGGGUUGUAAAGCACUUUUACCCGGGAUGAUAAUGACGGUACCGGGAGAAUAAGCACCGGCUAACUCCGUG